GCAGAAGCAGCAGCAGCAGGCAGCAGGCAGCAGAAGCAGUAACCGGUCGGUCGGUUGUGGUGGAAUUAGGUGAACUGACGUGGAAAUUUUGACCCCUUGUGACACGCCCGCAGAACAUGUGCACAAAGCUACGAAGUUUCGAGAGAAGACGAAAACGAAGACCAAGAAGAAGACGAAGACGAAGAAGACGAAAAAGAAGAAGAAGAAGCCUUUGUAGUGUCGACUCCGUGGAUAUCACGUAGGGUAAGAAGUAUAUCUGCGAAUACGUUUCGCAUCGCGCCGCGAAAUGUGACGUGUGACUUUGGGAAGUCGAAGUCCGCUGGAUUUACGCUAAAUUUUCACGGACAAAGGAAACGCGAGUGUCGUUCACGUGUAGGUACCCCGGCGCACGCCGGCUGGACGUGUGCGACGAGAGUUUCGAAGAGAUAAUUAAUUGGAUACAAAAUUCGCUGACGAUUCGAUAGCGCCUCUCGUUUAUCAGAUCGUUAAGCGCGCGUCUUACCGCACUGUUAUGGUACACGGCUGAAACGGAAAUGCGGUUUUCGAAGGAUACAGAAUUGUACGUACGCGUCCUUCUCAGAUGCUAUCGAAUUACAAUAGUCUCUGCGUCGUGUCGUUUAAAUUUUACUAAUUCAACGAAGUAAAAGAAAAAAAAACUCAAACUCAAACUUCGUAAGAGAUAAAGACAUCGGGUAGGUAUCCCAAAACCAAUUCGAAUCACCUUUCCUUUUUUUUUCUCCAGGCCUAGUCACGACACGUGCUUUUUCCGGCUCAAAAAAAAAAAAAAAAAAACAGAACAAAGUAAAGUAAAUAAACUGAACUGGAAAAGUGCAUUUCGUGGAAUGCCGGAGAGAUAACGAGAGUACUGAAAUUUUUAGUUGUUCAGUUUGUGGGGCAAAAAAUCGAUGUGAAUGAAAAACUGAUCGGUCUGAGGUAUGUGUAUUAUUACAGGUACGACGUAGGUGUAUUUGAUAAAUCGAUAUACCGAUAAUAAAAAAUUAGGAGUAGAAAAAGAAGAGAAGAAAAAAAAAAAAAAAAAAACGAAAUAAGGAAGGAAAAAAAUAUUGCCGGCAACAGCAGCCGGCCACCAGAAACGUUGAUUAUUAUAAUAAAGGCCUCGGUAUUGAGUAAUAUUAUCACAACUUAUCUAAGUUCAGCUUGUUUCAGGUUGUAUAUAUGUCAUCCCCUGCAGAUAAUGCGGACAUCGUAAUAAUAACGUGUAGAGUGAAGGGUGUUCUUUUUACUUUUUAGCUUUUUUUCUCCCUAUAAAUAUAUCCGGACGGAAUUUUAUUACCAUCUCGUGUAAUGACAACG
rnacentral:misc_RNA from 1 species